AUUGCACGUUAUUAGAACUUGGAGCUGGGGCCCUAACUGGCUGAUAAACUUGUAAGUGUGGGUAGUGUGCUAUGUGAGGGUCAAAUUUUUCACUACCACCACGAGGGUCUUUGGCCUAGUGAGUAGAGUUUGACAAUAAUCCUUGCUACAAGU
ensembl:snoRNA SNORA62 Small nucleolar RNA SNORA62/SNORA6 family